GAUUCCUUUCUGAUCCCGCACUUCCGCCUUCUGGACAAAAACAAUAGUUUGCUAAUGGCUGUCAGUUUCAAUGUCGACUUUAUUUACAUUUCCAGUCCAAACCCCAGAGGCACAUUAAGUCUAUUUAUUUAUUGUUCAUGAUUUUUUCUUUAUUAGUAUUAGAUCGUACGAACGGUUCGCUUAUAUUUUUUGCAGAAUUAUCAGAGAAUUCUAAACGUUAGCUAGUUAGCUAGCUAGCUGAUUUAACCCGACUAUAGAGUUGUUUGUUUUUAUUUGUUUUUAAAUCACUGUAUUAUUUAGGAAAACAAUCUCAAACAUUUUGGGAUUUUUUUGUCAUGGAAUUGCUUAGUAUAUAUUGUAGUAAAAAACGCAAGUGUCUAAAAUAGUGAUUUAAAUGGGUUAACGAAUGGUAACUGCGCAUGCGCGUGGUUGGCUGGCCUGUCACGUUUUCCUUUUCCUGGUAGGAUCUGAUCUAAUCUGAUCUGGUGCAACAUCCAGGACGCUCCAUGGCUCUGCGCAGGUUGUUGAGGAGGCGCUGGGUCCUGGGGGUCGUAUUCGGUUUCUCCCUUAUUUACUUCCUCACCAGCACACUCAAGCAGGAAGAGCGAAGCAUGCGAGAUCGGACUCUGCUGGAGGCCAGGGAAUCCGAUCACCCCAUCGCCUGGAAGGUCAAGUUCAACCUGGGCAACAGCAGCAGGCAGAUCACCCAGUGCAGGAACUCCAUCCAGGGGAAGAGUCUCCUCACUGACGAACUUGGUUACGUGUGUGAGAGGAAGGACCUGCUAGUGAACGGCUGCUGUAACGUGAACGCACCGCGCUCCGGCCAGUACAUGUGUAAGAGCUGUCUGCCCAACGGCUGCUGCAGCGUCUACGAAUACUGUGUCUCCUGCUGCCUUCAGCCUGACAAGCAACCUCUACUGGAACGAUUUUUGAACCGAGCCGCUGAAGGAUUUCGGAAUCUCUUCACAGCAGUAGAGGAUCACUUUGAGCUGUGUUUGGCGAAAUGCCGCACCUCCUCACAGAUCAGACCCCUAUCAGACCCCGAUCAGACCCCGAAGUUCGUGUUAUUGGACACAUUGUGUUUGUAAGAAGAAAAAAAAAAAUUGCACCCUCCAGAUGCCAUCAUCUCAACAGCAACCUAUUAUACACAAGAUUUGCAGUGCAUUAUGGGCCGUACUCCCUAGCCAGUGCACAACAAACGAGUGUCCAGCACGAGAACACGUACAGAAACCCCCAGGCGAAAUACUGCUACGGUGAGAGCCCACCCGAGCUCCAGCCCAUCUGAUGGAGGAAAGUAUUUUCAUAAAAAUGACACUACCUCUCUUCUCCUCCGCUCAAGAGAACUAACCGGUCCGGAAACCGACCGCGUCAGCAUGAAGACGUAAAGCAGCACCGGGGGGAACGAAGGACAAAACUUGGUCGCUUCCAAGGAGCUGCCCUUAACCUCAUCUGUUCCUGUCAUCUACAUGAUAUUUUGGGUUUCGUGCCACAGAAAUAGGAGUUCCUAUGGCUCCCAGAUAUACAUUGCUUUAACAGGAAAUGCAUCACCGAACUGAUGUCAGACGUUGAGGUCAGCCACAGAUGUACGCAAUCUGUCUGGAGUAACACGUGGGUGCAAAAACUAUUGCCUCAGCGGUAGGUAGCAAACGACUCGAUCGAAGAGUCCAAGGAUCAGAUCGUUCAUGUCAAUCAUGUCCAGUGCUAUGUAUUAAAGCCGAGUGUUAAUUUAAUAAAAGGCAUUUCUUUUA